AUUGAACGCUGGCGGCAGGCCUAACACAUGCAAGUCGAACGGUAACAGGAAGAAGCUUGCUUCUUUGCUGACGAGUGGCGGACGGGUGAGUAAUGUCUGGGAAACUGCCUGAUGGAGGGGGAUAACUACUGGAAACGGUAGCUAAUACCGCAUAACGUCGCAAGACCAAAGAGGGGGACCUUCGGGCCUCUUGCCAUCGGAUGUGCCCAGAUGGGAUUAGCUUGUUGGUGGGGUAACGGCUCACCACGGCGACGAUCCCUAGCUGGUCUGAGAGGAUGACCAGCCACACUGGAACUGAGACACGGUCCAGACUCCUACGGGAGGCAGCAGUGGGGAAUAUUGCACAAUGGGCGCAAGCCUGAUGCAGCCAUGCCGCGUGUAUGAAGAAGGCCUUCGGGUUGUAAAGUACUUUCAGCGGGGAGGAAGGGAGUAAAGUUAAUACCUUUGCUCAUUGACGUUACCCGCAGAAGAAGCACCGGCUAACUCCGUG
rnacentral:rRNA from 1 species